rnacentral:rRNA from 1 species
AACGAACGUUAGCGGCGCGCUUAACACAUGCAAGUCGAACGAGAAAGGGAGCAAUCCCCGGUAAAGUGGCGCACGGGUGAGUAACACGUAGGUAACCUACCCCUUGGCGGGGGAUAACCUUCCGAAAGGAGGGCUAAUACCGCAUAAGGCCUUGUUGGCGAAAGCCGAUGAGGGGAAAGCUGGCCUCUUCAUGAAAGCUAGCACCGAGGGAUGGGCCUGCGCCCCAUCAGCUAGUUGGUAGGGUAACGGCCUACCAAGGCAAAGACGGGUAGCUGGUCUGAGAGGAUGAUCAGCCACACUGGAACUGAGACACGGUCCAGACUCCUACGGGAGG